AUGUUCCUCAUCUCAUUAUUUUUCAUCUUUAUCCUCAGUUACUGCAAGUACUGUGUAGUAAAUGGGAAUGUCAUCAGACCAGAGAGAACAACUGUAGUUUUAACUGAAGAAAGCAACAUCACUCUGUCUUGUACAUUUAAUAUAACACCCUACAGGUUCCACUGGUACCGGCAGACGCCUGGAUCAAGUCCAGAGUUUCUGCUGCUGAUUGUGAGGUCAACUAAAACUACAAUUGAAGCUUCUCCACCUAAGCCACAUAUGUCCAUCAACUUCAGUGAGAAACGUGUGGAUCUGGAGAUCUCCUCUGCUGCGGUGUCAGACUCGGCUGUGUACUACUGUGCCCUGGAGCCCACAGUGACAGGAAACACAACUACACUGUACAAAAACUAA